GUCUCACUCGCUCGAUCACCCAGCCUUCUUUUCCAAUGGAUGAAGCUCAGUUUCUUCUGGUAGGGUUACCUCUGUUUCUAUUCUUCUCAGACGUCAUAAAUCUCUUCACGCCAUUGCCUCCAAAGCCACCGCCGCAUCAUCACCACCAGCAACCCCAACCCAAACCCCAAUCGGCUCCUCUAGAUUUCCCCACACAGAAAGAGAGUGGUAUUGGAGAUAUUGACUUCGGCAACACCGUCAAUAUUAAUUUCUGUUCCUCUUGUUCCUACAGGUGUUAUUUCAUACCGAAAAUGGGCCUUACCCUUGGGCCAGCUCAGCGUCCACAUCAGGAACCUAAAAGCCCAAACUCCAUGUUAGCAGCCAAGGCGUAAUUUAGUAAAGAUUCAUAUGUGAACUGGAAAAAAAAUGAAAGCUGAAAGACGAUCACAAAAAAGACUCGAACCCGACUGAGCUUUCAUUGAUUUUCAAGGGCAUGAGGAUCCCAAUUCGAAGCAUUUAGGAACCACGGUUUGGGAUGCAUCAAUGGUAUUUUGUGAAAUUUCUGAGAAUUAGUAAGCACGCCGAAGAGCUGCAAAGUGGAGCACAAGACUUUGCAUAAUUGGCAAACGAGCUUGUCAAGGCAAUGGAAGGGCGAAAAUGGUGUCAGAUAUGAAAUAGGGUUGGCAUAUUCUGCAUGGGCUUAUGGUUCAUGGUAUAGUGUAAUUUGUUCUGUUUUGGGGUCAAGAGGGGAUUCCUUGGGUUACCUAUAACACAUGAUUUACGUUCCUGUGGAUAACGGAUGAUGAAAUCCACUCCAGGAUGCUGUACAGAUCAACCAGCUGCAGAUCCUUGUAAUUGGAUGUGUUUUAGGUACAUCAUUUUACAGGAAUGUCAUGGCACUGGGACAUUAGGGUGAUAUCCACAUUUCGAUUGUUUGCCCUGCCAAAUUAUUGACAUUAUGAGGUCCUUCAGCAGUGUAUUUAUGUACCUGAUUUUUUGCCAAUAUGCAAGAGGUGCAUGCUCAAAAGGGUUUUAAACUAAGGAGUUCCAAGAUCAAAUUGUCUUACGUAUUCAGAUUAUACUUGUGAUA